AGAGAGAGAGAGACGUUUGCUGCUUUUUUGGCCAUGGCGGCGUUGCAGAGUUGUAAGUCUACUGCCUCUUUAAUGCUCCACAAAAUAGAAGCCUAAAAGCAAAUCAAAGGACUUGGACUUCCCUCUCUUCGAUUAAUCUCUAUCUCCAAAAGUCUUCCUUACCUUUGUCUGUCCCAAGAAAAUUUAACAAAAGCUGCAACUUUUA
rnacentral:lncRNA from 1 species